ensembl:lncRNA
UUAAAGUCAAACAACAGCCUUUAUUCACGAGAGUACUGCUCCUUACACAUUUUACCACAGGUUAUGAACUUAAAAUGACGUCAUUAGUUUCAGUACCAACCCGUGUCAUCUCCGCUCUAGUACAAAGGCUGUAUGGUUCUCACAUCGUCUCUCCCUAUUAAGAUGAUAUAUGACUGAGCUUAGGACAGCUGGUGUAGAUAAGCCUUCUAGCCAGUCUGGCUAUAAGUUCAUUCAUUUCUACCAUGGUACAGACAGUCAUUGUUCUAAUUCUUGAUUAUAUUUGCACACAUUAUAUUCAGUACUAAGAUUAAAAAGAAAAUUCAUACAUAUACAGUAACAUAAUAGUAUUCUGAUUAGUACAUAUACAGUAACAUAAUGGUAUUCUGAUUAGUACAUAUACAGUAACAUAAUAGUAUUCUGAUUAGUACAUAUACAGUAACAUAAUAGUAUUCUGAUUAGUACAUAUACAGUAACAUAAUAGUAUUCUGAUUAGUACAUAUACAGUAACAUAAUAGUAUUCUGAUUAGUACAUAUACAGUAACAUAAUAGUAUUCUGAUUAGUCAGUCCUGAUUGAAAUGUAUACAUAAUUAGUCAUUAUUGAUAAAAAUCCCCUUAACAAUCAUCCACUACGACAGUAAGUACAUCAUCCACUACAUCAGCAACUGCAUCAUCCACUACAUCGGUAACUACAUCACCCACUACAACAGGAACUACAUCAUCCACUACAACAGUAACUAUAUCAUCCACUACAUCAGUAACUACAUCAUCCACUACAACAGUAACUACAUCAGUAACUACAUCAUCCACUACAUCAGUAACUACAUCAUCCACUACAUCAGCAACUACAUCAUCCACUACAUCAGUAACUACAUCAUCCACUACAACAGUAACUACAUCAUCCACUACAACAGUAACUACAUCAUCCACUACAUCAUCAACUACAUCAGUAACUACAUCAUCCACUACAACAGUAACUACAUCAGUAACUACAUCAUCCACUACAUCAUCCACUACAUCAGCAACCACAUCAUCCGGUGUUGUGGACGUCUUCAACGGCCAUGACAAGACUUGAUUAUAUUCAGGGCACUGUAUCAGACUUCUCCUUAAAGGUAAUUUAUGCCUCAUCCAACAUCCGCAGUGUUUACCAUAAAUACGAUCUCAGCAAACAGGACGGAAAUUACCUUUAAAAGGCACGUUGUCAACUGUAUAGUGCACUGUGCUACAGCACGUCUUGGAAUGAAUUCCGGCCUAAACCAGAGCAGCUUAGCUGUAGCAGCUGUACGGUAGGUUAAGGUAGGCCUGUCUACUGAGGUGUCCCACAAUCCCUGGCAGGUCAAUAGAAGGCCAGAUUGCAGGGUGAGAGGCUUAAAAAUCCUUCUUUAACCUUUCUCCUUCCCUUCAUCUACACUGAUUAAAGUGGAUUUUACAAGUGACAUCAAUCAGGGAUCGUAGCUUUCACCUGGAUUCACCUGGUUUAUGUAAUGGAAAGAGCAGGUGUUCAUCAUGUUUUGUAUAAUCAGUGUAUAUUUAACUUAAAACCUUCAAUAUUAAUCUACCCUCUGUCUCUCUGUCCUCUCCACCUCCAUCAUAAUGUGGACCGGUGAGAGAGUCUUUACGAGUGACAUUAAUAGUCGGUCUGAGGUGAAGACGUCUGUAUAUCACUGUGCUGUGAGUGUGGGUUCUACCCCCC